CUUGACCGCUGGCGGCAGGCCUCCCCCCUGCCAGUCGAUCGGAGCGGCGGACGGGGGAGUAAUGCCUAGGAAUCUGCCUGGUAGUGGGGGAUAACGUCCGGAAACGGGCGCUAAUACCGCAUACUAUCAGAUGAGCCUAGGUCGGAUUAGCUAGUUGGUGGGGUAAAGGCCUACCCAGGCGACGAUCCGUAACUGGUCUGAGAGGAUGAUCAGUCACCCUGGAACUGAGACCCGGUCCAUACUCCUACGGUAGGCAGCAGUGGGGAAUAUUGGACAAUGGGCGAAAGCCUGAUCCAGCCAUGCCGCGUGUGUGAAGAAGGUCUUCGGAUUGUAAAGCUCUUUAAGUUGUGAGGCGUUACCAACAGAAUAAGCACCGGCUAACUUCGUGCCAGCAGCCGCGGUAAUAC
rnacentral:rRNA from 1 species